ACGGAUCUGUGGAAGAAGCAAAACGUGGUUCAUUUUCACCAAGACUACAAGUUUGUCUCUAUUUUUUUCUUCCAAAUGACUACGGUGUUAUUUUGAUGUGUGCCCACCAGAUAGUCCUCCAACAUCCAUCUUCUUCAAGUUCUUGGCUUCCAUGAUGUUAACGGUUAGCUUGCCAGCCGUGGGAACGUAGCGAAGAGAAAUGCAGAUGUCUCCGAGCUUCUCUUGCUGUAUCGAAAGAGAUACAAAUAAUCAGGUCUAUGGUGUUCAUGGGAAUCUUGAUCUCACCGAUGACGUCGUGUUUGCCGAAUCGGUCAAAGUCGAAAACCUGGAGCACCAACGUCUGACCACCCAACUCUGUGUAGGGUAUCUUGGAAGGACGAGAAGGUCCAAUUUUAAAAGCAUGUAGACUUUAACGUAGGGGUCCGAAGUCCCUCCCAUGUCCAUGGCUGCCAGGUCCUGAGCUUGCAGGAUGCCCACUAUCAGCUAGGAGGAACAAUGAGAGAAGCAACAACAUGAGUGGAGGUA